rnacentral:rRNA from 1 species
UACAGAGGUCCCAAGCGUUGUUCGGAUUCACUGGGCGUAAAGCGUGCGUAGGUGGUUUGUUAAGUCUGUUGUGAAAGCCCCGGGCUCAACCUGGGAAUGGCAAUGGAUACUGGCAAGCUAGAGUGCGGUAGAGGGUAGUGGAAUUCCCGGUGUAGCGGUGAAAUGCGUAGAGAUCGGGAGGAACACCAGUGGCGAAGGCGGCUACCUGGACCAGCACUGACACUGAGGCACGAAAGCGUGGGGAGCAAACAGG